AGCUUUGCGCAGUGGCAGUAUCGUAGCCAAUGAGGUUUAUCUGAGGUGCGAUUAUUGCUCAUUGAAAACUUCUCCCAAUACCCCGCUGUGACAACUUGAAAUAUAGUUGGCACUGGCAAUUUUUGAUGGUCUUUACAGAGA